rnacentral:rRNA from 1 species
AGAGUUUGAUCAUGGCUCAGGACGAACGCUGGCGGCGUGCUUAACACAUGCAAGUCGAGCGGUAAGGCCCUUCGGGGUACACGAGCGGCGAACGGGUGAGUAACACGUGAGCAACCUGCCCCUGACUCCGGGAUAAGCGGUGGAAACGCCGUCUAAUACCGGAUACGACCCUCCUCCGCAUGGUGGGGGGUGGAAAGUUUUUUCGGUCGGGGAUGGGCUCGCGGCCUAUCAGCUUGUUGGUGGGGUAACGGCCUACCAAGGCGAUUACGGGUAGCCGGCCUGAGAGGGCGACCGGCCACACUGGGACUGAGACACGGCCCAGACUCCUGCGGGAGGCAGCAGUGGGGAAUAUUGCGCAAUGGGCGAAAGCCUGACGCAGCGACGCCGCGUGGGGGAUGACGGCCUUCGGGUUGUAAACCUCUUUUACCACUCACGCAGGCCCCACGUUUUCGUGGGAUUGACGGUAGGUGGGGAAUAAGGACCGGCUAACUACGUGCCAGCAGCCGCGGUAAUACGUAGGGUCCGAGCGUUGUCCGGAAUUAUUGGGCGUAAAGAGCUCGUAGGCGGCGUGUCGCGUCUGCUGUGAAAGACCGGGGCUUAACCCCGGUUCUGCAGUGGAUACGGGCAUGCUAGAGGUAGGUAGGGGAGACUGGAAUUCCUGGUGUAGCGGUGAAAUGCGCAGAUAUCAGGAGGAACACCGGUGGCGAAGGCGGGUCUCUGGGCCUUACCUGACGCUGAGGAGCGAAAGCAUGGGGAGCGAACAGGAUUAGAUACCCUGGUAGUCCAUGCCGUAAACGUUGGGCGCUAGGUGUGGGGACUUUCCACGGUUUCCGCGCCGUAGCUAACGCAUUAAGCGCCCCGCCUGGGGAGUACGGCCGCAAGGCUAAAACUCAAAGGAAUUGACGG